rnacentral:rRNA from 1 species
GUCCACGCUGUAAACGAUGUGUGCUAGACGUUGGGGGUCACCCCCGGUGUCGCAGCCAACGCGUUAAGCACACCGCCUGGGGGAGUACGGCCGCAAGGUUAAAACUCAAAGGAAUUGACGGGGCCCGCACAAGCGGUGGAGCAUGUGGUUCAAUUCGACGCAACGCGAAGAACCUUACCAGCUCUUGACAUGGGUAGUAUGGGCCAGGGCGACCUGGUCCUUCGGUUCGGCCGGCUACCACACAGGUGCUGCAUGGCUGUCGU